rnacentral:rRNA from 1 species
CAGCAGCCACGGUAAUACGAAGGGUGCAAGCGUUAAUCGGAAUUACUGGGCGUAAAGCGUGCGUAGGCGGUUUGUUAAGUCUGUUGUGAAAUCCCCGGGCUCAACCUGGGAAUGGCAAUGGAUACUGGCAAGCUAGAGUAUGGCAGAGGGGGGUGGAAUUCCACGUGUAGCAGUGAAAUGCGUAGAGAUGUGGAGGAACACCGAUGGCGAAGGCAGCCCCCUGGGCCAAUACUGACGCUCAUGCACGAAAGCGUGGGGAGCAAACAGGAUUAGAUACCCGUGUAGUCCCUGUCUCUUAUAC